rnacentral:lncRNA from 1 species
CCUCUUUGCUUAUCAACUCAUUAUCUUUUAGCUUAGAGGCUAGUCAUGUGCUUAAGUGAGAGGAGAGAGGGAGAUUAGAGAGUGAUUACUCUUUUUUCUUGAUUUCUUCAUCUUUAGUGAGUGGAUGAAGGGAGGAGGCUAGUCCUCAUCUUGUAUAGAAGAUGUUCUCGUGAUUUAGCUUUGUUUGUUGUCUCAAAUCGUGCUAAAUCUUUGAUUCCCGAGCGUUUUUCUAUUUCGCUAUUUUCGGAGCUAUUUUUGGGGAUUUAUUGUUCUUCGUGUUUGAGCUCGAAUCUCGUGAGAUUGGUUGAAGGGAAAUGUUGCUAGGACCUUAGGAAGCACCUUUGAUAUGAUCCCCCUUCAAAUCCCUCACGAAUCCGGCUUGAAUUUUGAAUUUUCCCAAAUCGUGUUCUUGAGUUAGGGUUUCGGUUUUCUCCAAAAUUUGCGAUGAAUGCUUGAGCUUUUUGAGAUUUGUCUCAUGGAUCUAUUUUCCCUAGUGGUAUUGCAUCCUUGUCUCAAGUUUUAUCUUGAUCAGCGGAGUAUCGAAGGAGUUCUUGUGAUUUGAAGUGGAGCGUGUUCUUCUUUGUUCCUUGCUGUUCUUGCGUGCGUUGUUUUCUGUUCUUCGUUCCUUCUGUUCGUGUGCGCAGGUGACAGAUUGCAGGGAAGCAGCGCUACACUCGCUGCGAGGCUGGCCCGAUGCAGUAGGCGCAGCAGCCCGGCAGUGCGCGACGCGGCCCAGGCAGCAGAGGAGCAUUUGCGGCCCAGCAGUGCUAGCGACAGCAAGCGGCCCAUCGGCUGGCCUGAAGCCCAUCGGCGAGCAGCUGCAGGUGAGCUAGCAGGCUCAGGAGCAAGUAAGUGACCAACGGCCCACACCAACAAGCCAUCGCAGGACCAGGCCUUCAAGAAAAUGAACAGCAGGUGCACACAGCCCAAUAGCACAAGUCCAAGUGUAGCUAGUCGUGCAAACCAGUGAGCUAAUUCCUUUUAUCUUUUGUUAAUUCCAUGCAAUAAUUAGUUCUCUAUUAAUUCCUUCACUUAGCUAAAUUAACCUGUGUCCUCUUAUUUAGCUACUUGUUUUUAUCUUACUAAUCAUGCGUAGUUUAUUACUCAUCCUUUGAUGCCCCUUUGAUGCCUAGAUUAGUAAGUGGGUAGUAGUAUCUUUGCUUUGCCUCAUUUGUGCAAACUUGAUAGAAUCAAUUCAUGCUAUGUUUCCGCUGUGAUUUGAGCGUUUCUUAUCGUUCCUAGGGUGAGCUUGUCACGAGUUGACUUGUGUCAUCUUGACGAUAAAAUGCGCGGUGUGAUGUGGGGUUGCAUUUGGAACAUAGACCUUGUUCUCAUUGAGAAUUUUUAUAGGCUCCCAUUCAUCUCCCUCUGGUCGCCCUUUCGAUCCUUCAAGAAACCAUCCAUGCACGCGAUUGCCAGUGCGGUUCUGGCCUCUGGGCAGGUAUUUUCGGCGGAGGGCGGCCGGCCGCCGAUGGAGUGAAGAUGUUAUGCCGGUUUCCGGUCUACCGAAGUGGCUCGGGGCGGCGGCAGAGGUGCAGCAAGCAGCUCACGGCCACACGCGGCCACGCUGCUACGUUUUCAACAAUUUCUCGAAUUUUUUGAAGGCCCGGUUGCCGAUCCUUCAUAAAUUUUUUCUUAAUUAUUUAAAGGCUUUUAGUAAUUAUAUAAGAGAUUCCUAGAGUGAUUCGUGGUUUUGGUUGAUAAAUGUUGGUUGGGAUUCUUAUUAGUAGCUAAUUCGUUGUCAUCAAGAUGAGGGGCUAAGCGUUUUGCAGGGAGCUUGGAGAAGAUUUUUGCUAUAAUAAUGUAUGCGAGGCUUAUUGGUCUCAUGGUCUGUAAUUACCUAUGGCCAAGGCAUCUGCUUUUUUAAUGAGAAUAAUAUGUGCAGAGUUAUAGAGAUCAAGGUUACGAGCGUUCGUAGAGAUCUCUG